UAUAGUUCUUCGGAACUAGAGACCGGCGCACGGGUGCGUAACGCGUAUGCAAUCUACCUUUUACAGAGGGAUAGCCCAGAGAAAUUUGGAUUAAUACCUCAUAGUAUAUAGACCUGGCAUCAGGAUUAUAUUAAAGUCACAACGGUAAAAGAUGAGCAUGCGUCCCAUUAGCUAGUUGGUAAGGUAACGGCUUACCAAGGCUACGAUGGGUAGGGGUCCUGAGAGGGAGAUCCCCCACACUGGUACUGAGACACGGACCAGACUCCUACGGGAGGCAGCAGUGAGGAAUAUUGGACAAUGGGCGCAAGCCUGAUCCAGCCAUGCCGCGUGCAGGAUGACGGUCCUAUGGAUUGUAAACUGCUUUUAUACGAGAAGAAACACUACUUCGUGAAGUAGCUUGACGGUAUCGUAAGAAUAAGGAUCGGCUAACUCCGUGCCAGCAGCCGCGGUAAUACGGAGGAUCCAAGCGUUAUCCGGAAUCAUUGGGUUUAAAGGGUCCGUAGGCGGUUUAAUAAGUCAGUGGUGAAAGCCCAUCGCUCAACGGUGGAACGGCCAUUGAUACUGUUAGACUUGAAUUAUUAGGAAGUAACUAGAAUAUGUAGUGUAGCGGUGAAAUGCUUAGAGAUUACAUGGAAUACCAAUUGCGAAGGCAGGUUACUACUAAUGGAUUGACGCUGAUGGACGAAAGCGUGGGUAGCGAACAGGAUUAGAUACCCUGGUAGUCCACGCCGUAAACGAUGGAUACUAGCUGUUGGGAGCAAUCUCAGUGGC
rnacentral:rRNA from 1 species